rnacentral:rRNA from 1 species
GAUGAACGCUAGCGGCAGGCUUAAUACAUGCAAGUCGAGGGGUAGCAAAAUUGUAGCAAUACAAUUGUUGACGACCGGCAAACGGGUGCGGAACACGUACACAACCUUCCUACAAGUGGGGAAUAGCCCAGAGAAAUUUGGAUUAAUACCCCGUAACAUAGCGAUGUGGCAUCACAUUGCUAUUAUAGCUUAGGCGCUUGUUGAUGGGUGUGCGGCUGAUUAGAUAGUUGGUGGGGUAACGGCCCACCAAGUCUACGAUCAGUAGCUGAUGUGAGAGCAUGAUCAGCACACGGGCACUGAGACACGGGCCCGACUCCUACGGGAGGCAGCAGUAAGGAAUAUUGGACAAUGGACGCAAGUCUGAUCCAGCCAUGCCGCGUGAAGGAUUAAGGUCCUCUGGAUUGUAAACUUCUUUUAUAAGGGACGAAAAAAGGUCUUUCUAGAUCGUCUGACGGUACCUUAUGAAUAAGCACCGGCUAACUCCGUGCCAGCCGCCGCAGUAACAC